rnacentral:tRNA from 1 species
GGUUCUUUCGUUCAAUGGUAGGACAGGAGAUUGUGGUUCUCCUUAUUAGAGUUCGAUUCUCUAAGGAACCCCA